rnacentral:rRNA from 1 species
CGUAGGGUGCAAGCGUUAAUCGGAAUUACUGGGCGUAAAGCGUGCGCAGGCGGUUGUGCAAGACAGGUGUGAAAUCCCCGGGCUUAACCUGGGAACUGCACUUGUGACUGCACGGCUGGAGUACGGCAGAGGGGGAUGGAAUUCCGCGUGUAGCAGUGAAAUGCGUAGAUAUGCGGAGGAACACCGAUGGCGAAGGUAGUCCCCUGGGCCUGUACUGACGCUCAUGCACGAAAGCGUGGGGAGCAAACAGGAUUAGAUACCCUGGUAGUCCACGCCCUAAACGAUGUCAACUGGUUGUUGGGAAGGUUUCUUCUCAGUAACGUAGCUAACGCGUGAAGUUGACCGCCUGGGGAGUACGGCCGCAAGGUUG